AGCGAACGCUGGCGGCAGGCCUAACACAUGCAAGUCGAACGAAGUCUUCGGACUUAGUGGCGGACGGGUGAGUAACACGUGGGAACGUGCCUUUAGGUUCGGAAUAACUCAGGGAAACUUGUGCUAAUACCGAAUGUGCCCUUCGGGGGAAAGAUUUAUCGCCUUUAGAGCGGCCCGCGUCUGAUUAGCUAGUUGGUGAGGUAAAGGCUCACCAAGGCUACGAUCAGUAGCUGGUCUGAGAGGAUGACCAGCCACAUUGGGACUGAGACAUGGCCCAAACUCCUACGGGAGGCAGCAGUGGGGAAUCUUGCGCAAUGGGCGAAAGCCUGACGCAGCCAUGCCGCGUGGAUGAUGAAGGUCUUAGGAUUGUAAAAUCCUUUCACCGGUGAAGAUAAUGGCUGUAGCCGGAGAAGAAGCCCCGGCUAACUUCGUGCCAGCCGCCGCCGUAAGAC
rnacentral:rRNA from 1 species